GGGGGACUGUUAGGCUGCCAACACAUGAUAAGCGAUUUGCUCUCUGCGCACCGCUAGGUAGGGCACAGAGCAAAGCACAGAGAGCAAAGCGCGGCGCAGAUAU